AAUUUUAUCAGAUUCAUACUUUUCUAUAAAAAAAGAACCUCUAAAUGAUGUAUCUACCUUUGAUACAAUAAGAAUCAUACUUUUCUAUAAAAACAAUUCUCAUAAAACUAAAUGUGCUAAUAAGUUAUUGAUGUAGCUUUGAUGCACCAAUGACAAUAAACUAAUUCUCAUAACAGUAACAUAAUGAAACAUAAAUCCAC
rnacentral:lncRNA from 1 species